UACGUAGGCAGCAAGCGUUGUUCGGAAUUACUGGGCGUAAAGAGUGUGUAGGCGGUGCUCUAAGUUUGGUGUGAAAUCUCCCGGCUCAACUGGGAGGGUGCGCCGAAAACUGGAAUGCUUUGAACGUGGGAGAGGAAAGCGGAAUUCCUGGUGUAGCGGUGAAAUGCGUAGAUAUCAGGAGGAACACCUGCGGUGUAGACGGCUUUCUGGACCAUUGUUGACGCUGAGACACGAAAGCGUGGGUAGCAAACAGG
rnacentral:rRNA from 1 species